rnacentral:rRNA from 1 species
ACGGAGGGUGCAAGCGUUAUCCGGAUUUAUUGGGUUUAAAGGGUCCGUAGGCGGGCCGAUAAGUCAGUGGUGAAAUCUCGCAGCUUAACUGUGAAACUGCCAUUGAUACUGUUGGUCUUGAGUAAAUUUGAAGUGGCUGGAAUAAGUAGUGUAGCGGUGAAAUGCAUAGAUAUUACUUAGAACACCAAUUGCGAAGGCAGGUCACUAAGAUUUAACUGACGCUGAUGGACGAAAGCGUGGGUAGCGAACAGGA